GCGACUCAGAACGACGCAGAACGACUCAGAACGACGCAGAACGACGCAGAACGACGCAGAACGACGCGAACGACAAGUAUCAAACGACAAGCAAGUGAAAAACACGUGUUUGUACCAAGACGCAGACUUUUCUUCUUUUUCUGCAGCUUCUUGUUUCUCUGGUUUCCAACUGGACCCCUGGAGCUUUAUUGUGAAAGGACACCAGAGAUAAUGAUGUCAUACUCAAUCAUGUCAACAUGUGUCUGACGCUAACCGGAAGUAUCAAUGUGUCUCUGACUGACCGGCCCGGCGGGAGAUCGUGUUCAGCAGUUAACUGUCACAGCGAGGGAGCAGCCAUGACACCAGCAGGAGCUCGGCCAAGUGCAUCAUGGGAAACGAGUAUCGAUUAAACUGAGAGAUCUGUGUUUCCCUGAUCAGCGCCUUCGUUGAUUAAUGAUCAGUUGAUGAUGGACGAGGACUCACCCGGCCACAGGGUCCAGCACGAUGGCUCUGGGCUCGUCCAGGUCUUCAGAGAUCAGGAUCUUCCGCAUGGUCCCGUUGAGCCGGGUCACCUCA